UUCCGGUUGAUCCUGCCGGACCUGACUGCUAUCGGAUUGGUACUAAGCCAUGUGAGUCGUUGUAGCAAUACAAGGCGUACGGCUCAGUAACACGUAGUCAAUCUAACCUAUGGACGGGGAUAACCUCGGGAAACUGAGGAUAAAACCCGAUAGAUCAUAAUGCCUGGAACGGUUUAUGGUUCAAAUGAUUCGUCGCCGUAGGGUGGGACUGCGGCCUAUCAGCUUGUUGGUGAGGUAAUGGCCCACCAAGGCUAUUACAGGUACGGGCUCUGAGAGGAGUAGCCCGGAGAUGGGUACUGAGACACGGACCCAGGCCCUAUGGGGCGCAGCAGGCGAGAAACCUUUGCAAUGUGCGCAAGCACGACAAGGUUAAUCCGAGUGAUUCCUGUUAAAGGAAUCUUUUGUUAGUCGUAAAACCACUAUUGAAUAAGGGGUGGGCAAGUUCUGGUGUCAGCCGCCGCGGUAAAACCAGCACCUCAAGUGGUCAGGAUGAUUAUUGGGCCUAAAGCAUCCGUAGCCUGUUCUGAAAGUUUCCGGUUAAAUCCAUUAACUCAACUAAUGGGCUGCCGAAAAUACUGCAGAACUAGGGAGUGGGAGAGGUAGACGGUACUCGGUAGGAAGGGGUAAAAUCCUUUGAUCUAUUGACGACCACCUGUGGCGAAGGCGGUCUACCAGAACAUGUUCGACGGUGAGGGAUGAAAGCUGGGGGAGCAAACCGGAUUAGAUACCCGGGUAGCCCCAGCUGUAAACGAUGCAAACUCGGUGAUGCGCUGGCUUGUGGCCAGUGCAGUGCCGCAGGGAAGCCGUUAAGUUUGCCGCCUGGGAAGUACGUACGCAAGUAUGAAACU
rnacentral:rRNA from 1 species